rnacentral:rRNA from 1 species
UACGAAGGGGGCUAGCGUUGUUCGGAAUUACUGGGCGUAAAGCGCGUGUAGGCGGGUCUUUAAGUCAGGGGUGAAAUGCCAAGGCUCAACCUUGGAACUGCCUUUGAUACUGGAGAUCUUGAGUCCGGGAGAGGUGAGUGGAACUGCGAGUGUAGAGGUGAAAUUCGUAGAUAUUCGCAAGAACACCAGUGGCGAAGGCGGCUCACUGGCCCGGAACUGACGCUGAGACGCGAAAGCGUGGGGAGCAAACGGG